rnacentral:tRNA from 1 species
GCCGGUGUGGCUCAGUGGAUAGAGUGUUGGCCUGCAGACCAAAGGGUCCCAGGUUUGAUUCCGGUCAAGGGCA